CCCAGACUCCUACGGGAGGCAGCAGUGAGGAAUAUUGGUCAAUGGUCGGGAGACUGAACCAGCCAAGCCGCGUGAGGGAUGAAGGUACAGAGUAUCGUAAACCUCUUUUGUCAGGGAACAAAGGCGGGGACGCGUCCCCGGAUGAGUGUACCUGAAGAAAAAGCAUCGGCUAACUCCGUGCCAGCAGCCGCGGUAAUACGGAGGAUGCGAGCGUUAUCCGGAUUUAUUGGGUUUAAAGGGUGCGCAGGCGGCCGUGGAAGAGCCGGGCAGAAGCCCGGGGGCCACCCCCCCGCCCGCCGUUGAAACUGGCAGUCUCGAGUUGGAGAGAAGUAUGCGGAAUGCGCGGUGUAGCGGUGAAAUGCAUAGAUAUCGCGCAGAACUCCGAUUGCGAAGGCAGCAUGCCGGCUCCACACUGACGCUGAGGCACGAAAGCGUGGGUAUCGAACAGGAUUAGAUACCCGCGUACA
rnacentral:rRNA from 1 species